UACGUAGGGCGCAAGCGUUGUCCGGAAUUAUUGGGCGUAAAGAGCUCGUAGGCGGUUUGUCGCGUCUGCUGUGAAAACCUAAGGCUCAACCUUGGGCUUGCAGUGGGUACGGGCAGACUAGAGUGCGGUAGGGGAGACUGGAAUUCCUGGUGUAGCGGUGAAAUGCGUAGAUAUCAGGAGGAACACCUGCGGUGUAGACGGCUUACUGGACGGUAACUGACGCUGAGGCACGAAAGCGUGGGUAGCAAACAGG
rnacentral:rRNA from 1 species